rnacentral:rRNA from 1 species
AUUGGACUAUGGUGGGAACACUGAUCCAGCCAUGCCGCGUGCAGGAUGACGGCCCUAUGGGUUGUAAACUGCUUUUACACGGGAAGAAACCUCCCCUUGCGAGGGGAGCUGACGGUACCGUGAGAAUAAGGACCGGCUAACUCCGUGCCAGCAGCCGCGGUAAUACGGAGGGUCCGAGCGUUAUCCGGAAUCAUUGGGUUUAAAGGGUCCGUAGGCGGGCCUGUAAGUCAGGGGUGAAAGUCUGUGGCUCAACCAUAGAAUUGCCUUUGAUACUGCAGGUCUUGAGUCAUGGUGGGGUUGCCGGAACAUGUGGUGUAGCGGUGAAAUGCAUAGAUAUCACAUAGAACACCGAUCGCGAAGGCAGGUGACCAACCAUGUACUGACGCUGAUGGACGAAAGCGUGGGUAGCGAACGGGAUUAGAUACCCCGGUAGUCCACGCCGUAAACGAUGGAUACUAGCUGUGGGGACUUCGGUCUCCGUGGCCAAGCGAAAGUGAUAAAGUAUCCCACCCUGGGGAGUACG